GAGUUUGAUCGUGGCUCAGAACGAACGCUGGCGGCAUGCCUAACACAUGCAAGUCGAACGAACUCUUCGGAGUUAGUGGCGCACGGGUGCGUAACGCGUGGGAAUCUGCCCUUGGGUACGGAAUAACUCAGAGAAAUUUGUGCUAAGUACCGUAUAAUGACUUCGGUCCAAAGAUUUAUCGCCCAAAGGGAUGAGCCCGCGUAAGAUUAGCUAGUUGGUGGGUAAAGGCCUACCAAGGCUACGAUCUUUAGCUGGUCUGAGAGGAUGAUCAGCCACACCGGGACUGAGACACGGCCCAGACUCCUACGGGAGGCAGCAGUGGGAAUAUUGGACAAUGGGCGAAAGCCUGAUCCAGCAAGUGCCGCGUGAGUGGAUGAAGGCCUUAGGGUUGUAAAGCUC
rnacentral:rRNA from 1 species